rnacentral:rRNA from 1 species
UACAGAGACUGCAAGCGUUAUUCGGAUUCACUGGGCGUAAAGGGUGCGCAGGCGGCCGGGUGUGUGAGGCGUGAAAGCCCGAUGCUUAACAUCGGAAUUGCACCUCAAACUACACGGCUAGAGCAUUGGAGAGGGUAGCGGAAUUCACGGUGUAGCAGUGAAAUGCGUAGAUAUCGUGAGGAACACCAGUAGGCGAAGGCGGCU